rnacentral:snRNA from 1 species
AUACCUUUCUCGGCCUUUUGGCUAAGAUCAAGUGUAGUAUCUGUUCUUAUUAGUGUAAUAUCUGAUACGUGGGACAUCGUCCCACAUGAUAUUAAAUUAAUUUCUUUCUUGGGGGGAGGUCCCAUAACAAUAGCUUGCUAUUGGGGACUUCGAGCGUCGCCCAUGCGUUGCACUACUGCAAGGGCCUGGCGCACCGCCA